CGGCAGGGAGCUCCUGAAGCAGCGACGAGGGAAAUCCUCUGGCUUUCUUGUCAAAGCAGCGAAUGCCAAUCACUGUCCCGAUCACCCUGUUCCAGAAUGGCAGGGCACGGUAACGUACAGCUCUCCUGGUAACGUACAGCUCUGGUAAAGGCUCACUCAGGAGUCCUCUGAACUCUAACGAGGACCAUCUGUGUGCUGUGCAUUGAAGUAAAAGGAAAAGCAACUGAAAGUCGUCAGUAACUACCAAACCCAGAGGACGGGAUUAAAAAUAGCUGUCAAAGAAAGGGAAAAAAUUGCUUCUGGGGCAAACCUGAAAGUUUUUCUCUUCUGCUUGCUGGGAAGGAAAGCUGAAGAUCUUCUCAGAAUAUUUUGCAAGGUUGUCACAACAUGCUCCAGCCAAGGAUAAAUGAAGUUUUGAAACAGGCCAGGCUUCCUUCCUCAGAGUUUGCACGCAGCUAAUCUGAGGAAACGGAAAGGUUUCCACCAAAGUGAUGAGUUUUACCAAGCUCUGGCUGAUCUGACUCUCAGAAGUUUUAGGUGGAUGGUAUAGCUAGCAACGGGGUGUCUAAAGCAGCCUUUAACAUGGCCACUAAGAAUCUCAGCAGUGGACUUGGACAAGAAAAACCUAACGUGACAGACAUCUCCCUGCUCCUGAAGGUGGUUGAGGAGGAAUGCCAGAGGUGUGCUGUUUCCCUUCUGCAGUUAUCCCCGUCUGUGGACUAGUUUGGAAAAGGGAAACUAAUGUUUGGAAGAGGGAAACUGUGUCCUUUAUGUCCUUGGAGAACUAAUCCAGCUCUUUCUGGAUUGAAGGUGUGUCUGGCCAGAACAGUUCAGAGAGAAGCCUUUUUUCUUCUCCUGCGUACCCGCAUAGGUCUGGUCCCCUGUUUUAACUUGAUCCAUAAUCUUUAACAUCCAUGGGAAUUUCAUGUCAGCAUUUAAGCCCUGGGAAUACAGAACAAUGCAAGUGGAAAAUCUCAGUGCGGCUGAAUUUUGACAGGAGGACCAGGUAAUUUUUAUAUCUGGUAGUGCUGGAUGAGCAAGAGUUUUUCGUAAUUGUCAGUUGUAAUUGUCAACUAUUCUGUUGUAUUUCAAAGUGCUUGUUUUGAAACUGUCACUUCUUUACCAAUGGCAUUUUGAUGGAUGGAUGAUAUAUAAACACUGGGUUGAAAGAAACACCAUAAAUAUAUUCAGCCAAGCAAAACCAAUACGUGUAUUUACAGGAGGGUAAUUGUCUGUGGGGUAGCAGUCAUGGAGCAAAGGCCAUUGUUUUCUCUACUGAAUGCUCUGCCACUUGUCGCAAUCAUUUUUACGAUGAUGAACACUAUUUCUCAAUCAGUGGGUUGUGAAGUUGCAUGUUUUCCAAUUAAAUUUUGUGUAUUUAAAGAUAAGUGUAAAGAUAAGUGUGCUGAGCUAAGUGCUUAGGAAGCAGAGAGAGAGUGGAUUAACGAAUGGGGCCAAAGGAGAGUGUACUUGCAACAAGAUUUUCAGCUUUUUACAUAUGUAAUAGUUUGAAUCCAUUACCUGGUUUCAGCUUUUUUUUUUCUUUUUAAACAAACUGCAAAAUAGGAACUAUGGCAAAAGAUGAUUCACCUCCAACACCUACUACAUCGUCAUUGACUUGUACUCCUAAGCAAUAAUCAAGGACUCGAUUUUAAAUGUUUACCGAUUUGGGGAAUUUUAUUUGAAAUGUCUGAACUAAGGCACAGAAGGUUUUUGUUUUGUAUAAAAGAUGGACACCAACAGCUCUGCUGGAGAGUAAAAACCUGUAAAUUAAGUUGUAAUUGUCUGGUUGGGCACAGAGAAACAGAGGUAUUGGCAGGGAAAGCUUUAGCAAGGAAGGGUUGUUGCUUUUCUGUGACUGCUGCAUGCUUUUUUCAGUUUGGUUGAAAGAGGGCAACCACGAACUCUAACCUCAUCUCCGAUCUUCCUGAGAAUAGCUGUGGAAACCACUUGGCCAGCAAAAAGUCUGAAUGGAGAGACUGGUGAGGCCAGACUACGCCUUUGUACUCUCCUAACUGUUAUUCCCAUGUCUUAGCUGGUGUUGUUAGAUACACAGGCCGUGUCCUAGUCCAGAAAAACUUCCCAGGCAGCAUUCAUCCGGCCUUGCCUGGACACUCAGCUUGGGCACUUGGGCUUAGAGGUCUCUCAGUGCGCAAUUUGUCAUCAGUGAAGUGAAAGAACAUUUCUCCUGAUGGCUUUUCAGACCACCCAUGCUAGGUUCCUGCUUAGAGUGCUUCUCUCUGUCUUUCUCUCCCUUGAGCCAAGCGGUGGGGAGAUGAGCUUUGGCUGUGCAGAGGAACAGAGCAGCUCUUCACAAAAUCAACAGUUGUUAAGUGUCACAGAAGGCAUAAUUGAAAAGAGCCAAGAGGUGGGUGGGGAGUGAAUGAAUGGAUGGUUUCAGUGUAACCUUUCUUGGGUUCAAUCUAGCAAAGAUUUAGGCAUUGGACUAAAUUUAUGCCCUUUGUUUCCUCUGUAACCUGCAGUUUCCCCUCUCAGAUGCGUUAAUGUUUGGAAAAGCUGAGUUCUCGGGUUGGGCAGCUGUUGCCAUAGUUGGGCUUAGCUUUUCUGUGAUCACAUCUGAUAAUACUAGAGCCCUUCGGGUCCCUUUUUAAAAACUAAUGUUGCAGUUUUUGAGCUCAUUUGUACCACUUAUUUUAUGCACCCACCAUUUGUCAUCAAAUAGUUUUGCUUGACUGUUGGUCUUUUGACCCCACAAUUUAAAGCAGGGAAAAAAGAGCAUUAAAACAUACUUUAAACAUGUAUGUCUACCAAAGAUAUGCAUACAUACGCAACAACAAAAAGUAAUCCCUCCCCAGGUUCUGAAGAAAUUGGAACAGAAAUCUGAAAGAAAUACUGGGCUCCUAGACGUGGCACUUUCCUUUAGAUAUGUGUGAUAUGUGAAUAUAGCUAAAACAAAUCAACAGUAUCUGAUUUUUGAAACCAAUGUUCCUAAUAUUUUUAAUGUUAAUUAAGCUGUACUGUAUUUAUUUUCUAAGAGGAAAAAUUGAAUAAGAACUGGUAUAAACUAGUAUGACAUUCCUGUAGUAUAGAAACAGGAUAAAAAUAGAAGUAACCUGAAUGGAAAUAUAAGCAGGAAUGGCAGAGUGCCAGCAAUCCCUAGGACAUAAAUCUGCAGGCAGCUAAACCAGAAGUCUGUUUCCUUACACUCUUCACAUUGCAUGAUACGGUUUGUAUAAUUUGAGAAGGAUGUUGCUUCUUAUUAAAGAUGUCACUCCUUAUUACCACUUCUCUCCAGAAUAUGACCAAAGCUUUGUAGCUGGCUGGCUUUGAAUUAGAAUAACAACACCAGUGCUCUGUUGCAGUUUUGGGGGGUUCUUGGGUACUGGGUUUACAUGUGGCCUGCACCUGUUUGGUGCUUGCUUCAGCUUUGCCUCAAGCUGGGGCUAUGUGAGCCCCACAGAAUGAGCAAGGAAUUCCUGAAAAUUUCGGGCAGAGUUGCCUGCCAGAUAAGACACUUGAUUGUGGGUGUUUGUUGUUUUUUGCUUGUGUGUUCUUUUUUUGGUCCCCCCAUUGCCACUGGGCUUGAAACUGUAGGGCUUGGAGUACAGUGCUUUUGCUCCUGUGGUAGAGUAUCUUAACCACCAUGCGGUUGCUAGUUUGAUGGAACUGACAGAGUUAGAAUGUUACAGCCUGGUUCCAAGUGUUUAUGAACAAAUAAGUAGAGGUGAUACAAAGCUGGGCAUCUGAAGUGCAGGCAGGAAUGGAAUAAUGAAUGAAAUGUUUGCCAUCCAAGUAAUAUGCAGAGAGUCAGUGUUAGCAGACUAGUUACACUAUAGCAAUACUAUGUACACCUCAGGGCAUGAGAUUCCGUCAUUUUAAACCCUUACAGAUGAUCACAUGAUGCAUUAAACAUCCUCUAAUUUUAUCCCUUUUGUCUUAAUUUACAUCGCAGAAGAGGUGAAGAAUUCUGAAACUAAAAUUGAGGGGUAUGCAAAACUUCUUCAAAAGCUUUUCAAAAUUAAGUAAUGUAAACUAAAACAAAAAAGUGGUAUUUUGAAGUGCAUAAAUCUGUUCAUGUGAUAUUCAUCAGCACA